rnacentral:misc_RNA from 1 species
AUGACCGUCUCUUCCCCGUCUCCUUCAAUUCCUGGUCCACUACCCAAAGCUGAAAGGGCUUUAGCGUGGUCUGUCUGGAUAUUUCACUCGCUUUUUGCAUUUGUAAUAGCAUAUUGGGUCUCGAAUGGAAAAGCAAAGGGAUGGAUUAAACAUUGGAUGCAGGAUAGUUGCUAUGUCUCCGGUGCAAAAAUGGAUUUAUCCGAUGCGGAAUGGGCUUAUUAUCGGCAAACCGUGUGGCAUCUUCUUCUCGAUUAUUCGGCCCAUAGCUUAGGAAUAUUCAUCUCAAAACGAUUUCUUCCAUGUUCCACGAUCUCAAAUUAUGCCUUUAUCGCCAUCGGUUUCUUGCUCCAAAUUCACAUGAGCAGUUUCCAAUGCAUUUUCGUCCUCUACUCAUUCUCGGUGCUCGUCAUCGUUGCCACGUGGCUCACAGGCGGCUCCAAAUGGACUCCGUGGCUCCUGUGCAUCGUCUUCAUCGUCCGAGCCACACAAAUCGUCCCAUUCUCGUCUGGAACUCACAUUUUCUAUCGAGAAUUCAACAUUUAUCUCAAUUCGAGACGUGGCAAAAGACAACUGAAAUUUGCUGGAAUUCUGUGA